rnacentral:lncRNA from 1 species
UGGUCAUUUCCAGAAUAAUAAAUGUAAUUUUUUAAGUAUUCAAACCUUGAACCUUACCAUUACUCAAACAUUUAAUACUAAAAUUCUAACUAUGUUUAUUGUGCAUUAACUUAAAACUCAAAAUAUAAUGUGAUUUUUAAACUAUAAAUCAUUUAUUCUAAAUUCAUGCACAAACAACCUAUAUUCUUAAUAUGAUAUGUUUCUCUUUUUUUUUUUUUUCUUACUUUUGCAUGCAUGCAUGAGUCAUAAAUUGUGGUCUAUAACAUAACUACAUACUAAUUGCAUGUCAACUUUACAUCUUUUUAUUCUUCAAAAUUAAAAAUCCUAAAGACUCUUCCAAUUGGAGAGAUAGGCUUGAUACUAGAGAAGACAUGGAGCAUAAUAUUUUUUGGAAACUUGGUGAGGAAAAUAUUUUAUUCUGGUGGGAUCAAUGGUUGAUCAAUGGCCCUCUUUAUUUGCAACAUGAACAAGCACCCAAACCUGGCAGCACCUUGGUGAAGCAGUACUUCCAACACAACAAUUGGAAUCAAGAAGCACUAGAGGCGGUGCUGCCAAGACAUGCGGUAGAUGAGAUCAUUGACAUCAAAAUAGAAGAAGGACGCAAAGACACACCUUUUUGGAAACUUGAAUCCAGUGGAAAAUUCUCCUGCGCAUCAGCCUUUCAAGCCAUCAGAAAAAAAAAAAAACUCAUCUUCCUCAACUAGAACCUGUUUGGAAUAAAACAAUUCCUUUUAAAAUUUCCUUUUUAAUGUGGAGGCUUCUCAACAAAAAACUUCCACUUGGAAGCUCUUUAGCUAGAUUUGGAAUUACUUCUAACAUUGAUUGUGUUUGUUGCAGGAUUCCAACGCAUGAAUCAUAUAAUCACCUAUUUGUAGCUGGAGAAGAGGCUAAAAGAACCUGGAAAUGGAUCUCUAAACCUCUUCGAAUCAACUCAAACAACAACAAUAUCAUACAAACUCUUGACAACUGGUGGAAGAUUAAAGCCAACAACGCAGUUCACAAGUUGAUAACCACAAUUACUCCAACCUUGGUGUGCUGGACACUGUGGAAGGCAAGAUGCUCUAAGAAAUUCAAGAACAAAAAAAUAUCCAAAGCUUGGAUUUACAAUCAAAUUUUCUUUCAGAAUAAGAUUGCUAUUGCCAAAAGCUUUGGAAAAAUGGAAGAUCAUUGGGGUUGGAAUAUAAUUUGCAGCAUAUCGAUGAAUUAUAAACCAAGACUGAUCAGCACUUUGGUCAAAUGGAACAAGCAUGGUGAUGAUUUAAUUUUAAAUACAGAUGGGAGCUAUAUGAUGAGCACUAGAAAAUACGGAGCAGGAGGAAUUGUUAGGAGAAGAAAUGGAAGCAUGAUUAUGGCUUUUGCAAAUCCGAUUCAUUUCUCAACUAACAACUCUAGCGAGGCAGAACCAGCUCUGUUCGGGAUCUCAUGGUGUAGGAUCAAGGCCUAGCUAACUUUAGAAUGCAAUUGGAGUCCAUGCUCACUGUUCAGAUGAUGAGGGGAAACAUCAACAUCCCUUGGAAUUUGAUCAAGGUGAUUGCAGAAAUCCAACAUAAGGUUAAUGAAAGGGGUAUAAAAGUCUCUCACUGCUAUAGGGAAGGGAAUUCUAUAGCUGAUGCAUUGGCCAAACACGGUACUACCCUUACUCACAAUGUUAUUUUCGACAAUGAAAAUCAACUCCCACGAAAGGUGAGGGGGGCUUACAAUACGGACAAAUUAGACAUUCCAUCUUCCAGAUUUAAGGUGACUAAACAUUCAAGUUGGCAUUUUGAUCCACCGUGAUAUGGAGAAAAAAUAGAAGAUUUUUGCAGAAUGCUGGAUCACUUUAUAGAAGCUAAUGACUAGCUGGACAAUCCCAGACUCAUUGAGUCACCUCCUCUCUUUAAGAAUUGGCAAUGCAAGUUACUAGAGAUAUGUACUUAGAGCCAAUUCAGAUUGUAAAAGUUUUUUUUUUUUUCGGUUGGUGUUAAUAUGCAGGAAAGGCACCCCACACCACCACCACCACCACCACCACCACCCCCUCUUUUUGUAAUUUUGAUCAUUAAUAAACGAGGUAGGGGUCUAUGCCUAACCCCCCACCACCCCGACAAAUGGGGUGGAUGGCUUAUAUAAAAAAAAAGAAAAAAAAACUUUACAUCUUUUAACAUUAAAAAUUAUCAUAUUUAAAACUCAAAAUCAAUCUAAUUAAUAUCAUUUUUGAAACAACAAAUGAAUUAUAAAUAAAGACAUAAAGCACCAAAUUACAUCUAUACAAUAAACUGCGCAUAUUAAACAAAGAAAGACAUUAAAAUAACUUUGUUCAUGCUUCGAUUUAUCACAAGAUGUAUCGAAAUAAAUAAUACGGAAUUGAAUAAAACCUGUAUGAUGAACUAACUAAAAGAGAAGCACUAACGAAUCCACCAGAGACUCACGGAAACUUGAAAUCAAUCCUCUACUACUUUUCUUUUUCUUUUUAUCCGUGUGAUUUUUUUUUUCAUUGUUUCUUGUUAUUCCUUUUGUUUCUUUUUUUUUUCUUUCGUUUUGUUUCAUGGUUUCUCUUUGUUUCUUGUUUUGGUUUUUUUUUU